UACGGAUGAGCACAGAAAGUGGUUUCCUAAGAAGGAAUCCACUCCUGGUGAAGAUGCUGUGAA
rnacentral:pre_miRNA from 14 species